rnacentral:lncRNA from 1 species
GCUGGUGCACGACGAAGUGACUUCGCUCUCGGUCUUUUCCCAGGUGUGGAGCUCUGGACUGGGAUUAAGAAGGGGCCCCCACGCAAACUCAAGUUCCCUGAGCCUCAAGAGGUGGUGAAGGAGCUGAAGAAGUACCUCUCGUAGGGUGUUUUGAGCAGAAGUCCUCACGCUGAGGUUUGAAGGGGGCGGGAGGGGUGGAUUGUGGCUAUUUGCGAAGCAGCCCUCCCUCUACCCCAUAUCACACGGGAUCUACCACUCGUAACUCUUCUUGCUCUCAGGAUGUCCCCUUAUUACUGGUAGGAAAGCUAGAAGUCGGCAAUAAAAUUGUUUAUCAGUCUGCUUUUGGCUAAACUGCACGUUUCACUGUCCUUGAGCUAAGUCGUAGGAUGCUGAUGGUAAUGUAAAUGACCCUAUAGAAAUGCAAUUUGUGCCCUUGGAAGAUGCGGUUGUCCUUCUCUUGAUCCCGUGGGAGAACCGGUGUACUGUCACUCCUGGCCCCAAGGAUCUGACUGGUUUUUUAUCCCUAAUGCUCCUGCAUGUUGUCAGGCACUGACAGCUGACUGAUGAGCUGAGUGAAAUGUGGCGGUAGGAUGCAAUCCUUGAACUCUCCUGGGUUUGUGGGCUCCAGGGUGGGGGACACGUCUUUCUCAGGCUUUAGGAUUGCCUGGGCCCCUUCUCUAACCCUUUUUUCCCUUCUCACGUUCACAGCCUUCGGUCCCUGGUGACGUUUGGAGCAUUUAUGACGGGACAUGGCCAAAUUUCAGUCAUGUGCCUGAAGCCCUGGUUUCUUCCCCUCCAGAAAUGAUGGUUCAGUUGUGAGGCAGCCCUCUAGUAAGGCACUGAAAAGUUCUUGGAUUUGGUUUGCCUAAUAAAAAUUGAAACAAAGUAUUUGAGUAAUAACUUGAUGUUAUGGUAUUAGAUGGACAGAGCUCAGCCUUUUGUGGGAUUGGCUCCCUU